rnacentral:lncRNA from 1 species
AAUUCGUGCUUAUAUUUUCUUUGUUGUGAUAUCCACAUUACUGAAAGAGUUUUUUCUUUCUUUUUCUUCUCCUUUUGCCAAGCAGCGUAUUGAAAUGCACGGAACUCAGUGAAGGAAAUAAAAUUUCAUGUUCAAAACUCACAAGCUUUAGCUAAAACUUUAUUAUAAAAUUCUAAAGUUCUUUAAGAACAACUCCCCAAUCUACAGCUCCAUCUGCUUGUCCAUGAAAGGGUCCCCAAAUUGGCUGGGAUUACGAGAGCGAGACAAUCUUCAGAAUGCUAGUUACACCAAAGUUGUAAGAAUAAUAAAUUAGCGUACAAUAAACUUGUUAUCUACACAAACAAAAAUGCACUGCUUUAUGUACUAAAGGGUCCAAACGGAUGUAGCAGGAUCAUUACUAACCUGUAGCUGCAGCAUGGGAGAGGUCGUGAGUGGAUGUGCUUGCACUGCAUGCAAGAACUCUUCCACAACAUAGCCUUGAUCAGUACAACAAGCUAAAGCUGAAACUUAUUAUCCAUCCAUGUGCUAAUCUAUGAGACUCUCACAAAACAGUCCUAUAUAUACAUGUAAAUAUUAGUUCUAAUUUGGCUAGCUAGGAGGAGAGGUAACUAACCUACAAGAGUUAUUACAGUACCUUGGAAUUAAGGCCGGAUGAGGAUGAGGACCACCAGAGUAGCUGUUCCCUCAUUUUUCACAAAAUACCCUUCUUGGAAAACCACAAGAGAAUACACCAAUCAAAAUUUGAAAUACCCUUCUUGGAAAAUCACCUUUACUAAAAAGGUUCAUCGCGUUAUGCACAAGCAAGCGCACACAUGCAUGUAUUAUAAACAAAUUUUGCUUUUGUAACAAGCAAGCAGACACACAUGCAAGUAUGAUGAACAAUUUUGCUUUUGCUUUUUUACUGAAAUAAUAUCAUUAUACGUUUUAAAAUAUCACUUGAUCCAAGUCGAUGACUCGGUUUCAUUUUCAAGAAAGAUCAUAAUAUACAUCACUAUGAGAAAUAUCAAGUGUCAUUGAAAUUUUGAGAAAAGGGCAUUAUCAGACUGCAAAGAUGCCUUGAACUAUGAAGACCAAUCUCUGAAACAAAAUAAACAAACUCCAUCACAUCCUACUGAGAACAUUCUGUAAUAAAAGAUUGACAUGUCGAAAGAUGAUAUGCCAAGCUGAUGGCGAUGAAAGAUGGGCUGUUGCACCGAUCAUUGCAUAGCCUUUGAGCUUGCAAGUUCGCAACAUGGAUGAAAGUUGUAUGAAUAAUUAAUUACACGCUGAACUUGUUAUCUACACAAACAAAAAUGCAUUGCUUUAUGUACAAAAGGAGCCAAACGGAUGUAGCGGAGUCGUUACUAACCUGCAUCUGCAGCAUGGGAGAGGUCGUGAGUGGAUGUACUUGUGAACACUGCCUGCAAGAACUCUUCCACAACAUAGCCAUGAUCAGUACAGCAAGCUAAAACUGAAACUUAUUUUCCAUCCAUGUGCCAAUCUACGAGACUCUCACACAACAAUCCUACACAUGUAAGUAUCAGUUCUAAUUUGGCUAGCUAGGAGCAGAGGUAACUAACCAGCAAGAAUUAUUACAGUAACUCCAAUCAUUGUAAUGCAGGUGCAGACAUCUUACAUUCUUGUACGACAUGCUAUAUUUGAAUACUUGCUAUAUAAGAGUAGAAUCAUUAUACUUAAGCCAUAAUACUAAUCCUUAAUCUACAAUUCCGAUGAGGAUUUGCUGCAAAAAAAUAUAGUCCCAAUGUAAAUAUUCAAUAGGAGGAGCAAACAAAAUCUUUCAGUUCACAAAGUAAGAAACCGAUGCAUAGAUCAUCAUUAAUAAACCUGCAAAGAACUGGUUUGGGAUAAACAUUUUAAUGACAUGUGUUCUAUAGACUCCCACAACAUCACAAAAUAAAAUAAAAUAAAAGGUAUGGAAAUAAACAGGAAGGGAUGUUAACUGUGUUACAAAAAAUCAACAUUAUUUAUCAUAAACUUUUGCUGGAAAACUGAUGUAAAAAAGCCUUUGCUGGAAAUUAGUGAUUAGAGGCUUAAUAAGUAACAAGGGGAGGGAUAUCUAGAUAAUUUGCAGUGCUGUAAACUGAGCUAGUUCAUUGUGCCGGUGUGAUGGCACUACCCGUGGCAGGACACAUCCCUUGAAGCUGAGUAUCGAGG